rnacentral:rRNA from 1 species
GACGAACGCUGGCGGCGUGCUUAACACAUGCAAGUCGAACGAAGAGCGACGGAAGCUUGCUUCUAUCAAUCUUAGUGGCGAACGGGUGAGUAACGCGUAAUCAACCUGCCCUUCAGAGGGGGACAACAGUUGGAAACGACUGCUAAUACCGCAUACGAUCUAAUCUCGGCAUCGAGGAGGGAUGAAAGGUGGCCUCUACAUGUAAGCUAUCACUGAAGGAGGGGAGUGCGUCUGAUUAGCUAGUUGGGGGGGUAACGUCCCACCAAGGCGAGGAUCAGUAGCCGGUCUGAGAGGAUGAACGGGCACAAUGGGACUGAGACCCGGCCCAGACCCCUACGGGAGGCAGCAGUGGGGAAUCUUCCGCAAUUGGCGAAAGUCUGACGGAGCAACGCCGGGGGAGUGAUGACGGCCUUCGGGUUGGAAAGCUCUGUUAAUCGGGACGAAAGGCCUUCUUGCGAAUAGUGAGAAGGAUUGACGGUACCGGAAUAGAAAGCCACGGCUAACUACGUG